rnacentral:rRNA from 1 species
GACAGAGGGGGCAAGCGUUGUUCGGAUUUACUGGGCGUAAAGGGCGCGCAGGCGGUUCUGUUUGUCGAGUGUGAAAGCCCCGGGCUCAACCUGGGAACUGCGCUCGAAACGGCGGAACUAGAGUUCGGGAGAGGAGAGUGGAAUUCCCAGUGUAGAGGUGAAAUUCGUAGAUAUUAAAAAGAACACCAGUAGCGAAAGCGGCUCUCUGGACCGAUACUGACGCUGAGGCGCGAAAGCGUGGGGAGCAAACAGG